rnacentral:rRNA from 1 species
GGUUAAGCGACUAAGCGUACACGGUGGAUGCCCUGGCAGUCAGAGGCGAUGAAGGGCGUGCUAAUCUGCGAUAAGCGCCGGUAAGGUGAUAUGAACCGUUAUAACCGGCGAUACCCGAAUGGGGAAACCCAGUGUGAUUCGUCACACUAUCAUUAACUGAAUCCAUAGGUUAAUGAGGCGAACCGGGGGAACUGAAACAUCUAAGUACCCCGAGGAAAAGAAAUCAACCGAGAUUCCCCCAGUAGCGGCGAGCGAACGGGGAGGAGCCCAGAGCCUGAAUCAGCAUGUGUGUUAGUGGAAGCGUCUGGAAAGGCGCGCGAUACAGGGUGACAGCCCCGUACACAAAAGCGCAUGUG